UUGUCUGACACCUAGAUCAACGGUGCAGAUCAAAUGUUCUGCCCGAGCGGACGCCGUAGUCUGCCAACCGUCCUAGCGCACCGCGUCCCCAGAUCCCCGUGGCUUUCGGAUCGAUUCCAUCCUAAGCGCUGCACCUAUGGUGCCCAUCCACCCAGCCUAUCGCCUCAACGCGAGCCCAGCGCCGCCGCACUCUCGGUCCCUCUCUCCGCCUCGCGGCCGCCGUCCUCGACGUAUCGAUCGUCCGUGUAUUUUUUGGUAGCAGAGGAAAAAGAGGAGUUCCGCACAGGGCCUCUCCCAUAGCUUUGCUGCUCGCGUCAUGGCACGACACCCAGUCGCUUCAAGCCUUCAACCAAUGGGGCGGCUGCGCGCGUGCCGCCACCAUCGAGGUCCACUUCGGCGAGCCUGCCGCGCCUCCCCGCCCGCGUGUCUACUUUUUCCUCGGUCAUGGCGGUCGCUGCAACCGCUCCCGAUGACGCCCGCGAUUCUAGCCUCGGAAGCUCAGUCUUCUGGGCCUGGAUCCGGGCGGCGGUAGAGGCGGCCCCGGCUCCCGCGCCUCCGCAGGACGAGGAAGAAGGCCUCCACAGGAGGAGGAUCCCCGUCGGGGCCUACUUCCUCUUCAUCAGGUAAGUUAGAAUGCGCAGGUGGUUGUACGCUGGGUGUUUGAUGAUAGUUCUGCAAGGAAGACCUUGCGUGCUACACUGCUACUAUGUUUUUUCAAUCUCUCAUCUAACAUUAUUGUGGGAGGCCACAGUGAUUUGGUGACGAGGAAUGAAAAACGACCUUUGUUUGAUUUUCUUUAUCCAAUCUUUUACAUCACCUAAGCGACGUGGUAAAUCCAUCCACUUGGUCGGUAAACUACACUGCGCUCUGCUACCCUGAAUUCCUCCAGAGAUCAUGGUAACUGAUUUCAGUGUAGCACCACAUAUUUUGCGGGCCAACAAUUAUAUUGAUGUUUGAUCGUUUGUUGAACAUGCUGUAUGUACAUUAUAUAACCUCAUUUAUCUCACGUUUUUGUUGGGCAUUGGGGUGCAGAACAACAGAUUUUGCUAUCACAGUGUGGUUGUCUUCCAAUAUGGUUCUUCUGGGCUGUUCAAUAUUGGUGAUCAUGAAUCUGAGUAGUACCUUUAUAUGAUCAGGAACAUGCUUCGGGAUGGCUUCCGGAGAUGAGGAAAUAUGAUUAUGCGGUAGUUGAUAAGCCAUCCCUGACAACAUGGAUGAAAGGAGGUCUUGAUUAUAUAGUUCUUAAAAGUUUAGAUAUCGAUGGAAUUUGGAUCAUUUCAAGUGUUCCUGGUCAAAGCAUCGCUCUUGCUCAUUACAUACAGCAGGUCGAUGAUAUGGUUGAGGAAUUUACUGAAAUCAAUCAUAUCAUGGAGAAGACUGGGGACUUCAUAAGGAAAAGAAAGAAGCUCUUUCAACUUAUGGACUUGGCUAAUUCUAAUCUUGCAGAUGUCAUCAUUAGACUUCACCUUUUUGACAGGUAUGUAAGUGUUGCACUCCCUCCUACAUAUUAUAUAUCAUGUACCAUAUAUUUUAGCAGUGUAUGUGCUGUCAUUUUCUGAAAAGAAGGAAUUUCAUUAUGCAGAAAACCCCAUGUACUGUGUUGUAUUACUGAAAAGAAGUCAUGUAACUGCCUAAAAAUUAAGAAGACAUAACUUGACAUCGUAGCCAGGUAGGACUAUAUGAUAUCAAUAGACCACUUUGAAACUCACAUGGUACUUUUCUCGGAAAAAAAACAGUAAUAUUUAUGCUGUUCAUUGAAAAAACUUCCCUGUGCCUUCAAGAAAGGUUGAUGUUUUGAUCUCCAGACAUACAAAACAUACAGUGCCACAACUCUGUAUGUUUUUAGUCUUUUUAUUUACUAGCAUUGUGUUUCGCUUCGAGUGUCAAAGAACCACAGAUGCACUAUGAGACUAUUACCCCAUGUCGCCUCCACCCACACCAGCAAACGCCGCCCGCCGCUGCCGUCGCAAGCAGGCGCUGCCCCGCCGUUUCCUCGCGCCUAAGAUUGAAGCAUCGCCAGCGCUGUUUCUUGGCGCACCGCAGAUGUGCAUCGACCCACAAUGUUUUUUUUUGUCACGCGCCGGAAAGUCGGAGACCCAGAAUGUGGAGCUCGACAGAUUACUCGAAAUCCUGGUUCUUGCCAUCUAUGUGCAGUUCCACCGUUUGUUAUGAACAGAGAACCGAGGUGAGUUGUGAUUUCUGUAUCUCGGGAGGGGAUUAGAAAAACUUUAGAGGAUAUACGAGACAGUGUGCAAGUAUACUGCCAUUAGCCUGAUUGAUAUGUUCCUCAUUGCACGUGCUCCAUUACAUGAACUGUAAAUCCAGCAAUGAUGUAGAAGAGAUAAAUAGUAAACGUACUUGCUUUCUAUUUGUAGAUGCUUUUGACUUUUAUAUAAGUUUCAUAAAAUAUUUUGUCCAUCAAACUCUAUGUUUCUUAUAUACAUGAAAAGGGAUAUGCAACUGUGGAGAGAAAGAAUGCAGUGAUAGCUGGAGAGUGGAGACAGUGGAAGAAGGUGGGAGCCACAUGUUCAUUGCAACGCUUUGCUACUUACCAUUUGCAUGUGGAGGACGCUCUGCAGUGUCGGGGCCCUGGUUCUAAAGCAAGUCGUGAGGCGUCUACUACCAAAACAAUCUGGUUCUUAUCGAGUAUUGCCUACUGAGACACCAUGUUGCUAGAUAAGUAUAAACACCAGGUUAUCUCUAAUCAUGUGUUGCAGCUUCUACCAUCCUCAUGUUUAGAUACUUAAUGCUGACAUGUGAACCAAAAAUCUAAGAUGAACACAAUUAUUAGUGGAUGAUACUUUGAUCAAUAAUUUCUAUGGCAUCAGUCAUGCACUAAUUUAGACAUAUUCUGUUUUUUCGAAAGCAAUUUAUCCCAAAAUUUUAGCUAGGCCGCAUUGCAUUUUUAUCCUGAAUCUCUAUCAUCGAAUGUUUUUUCAAAGAUUUAUUAAAUUUAUGGGACACAUUUGCUCCAUUUUAAUUCAUUUACCAUAUAUUAACCCACUUCAAUUAGCAACAAGUUCCCAAGCUGAAACUAUUGCGAUCUGGGCUGGUAUGUGACUGCCAUUUUCGCAUUAUUGAUAUUUUCACAAUGGAUACAUUAGAGCAUUGCAUUUUUAAAGUAAAGUUCCAGCAAUUAUUUUUUAGCAGAAAUACAAUGAUCUGUAUGCAAACAAUCUCCCUGUUUUAGUAAUGUUGUGGGACAUCAUAGAGCAAAUGACAUGUCACAUUCCCAGUAAAUGUGUCAAUCAUACUAAAUCGAUGGUUUCUAAUUUUGGAUAUUGAAAUAAUGAUAUUUUCUUGAUUAUAAUAUGAUAGUACUGAUUAACUCAUUUUCUGUUUCAAGCUAUCUUGACAUUUCUUAGCUAUUUUGAUGUUUUGCUUGGUAGAAAGUAUCAAUGUACUGCUUGAGAAGACGUAAGUGUGGGAGAUUGUGUUUUCAGAGAAUUGUGGUUUCAAAGUUAUUUGUAGAAGUAAUUUAUAUUUAUCUUAAGGUUACUAGGAUACAUUGUAUGAACCUUUCUUUUUUCAUUAUCAUAUAGGCCAAGAUGUUCUCCAUAUGCUGCAUCUGGAACGCCUACGACAAGAUUAACCAUGUGAAGACUCGGUUACAUGGUUUUAUUUUAAAUGAAGUUGUGUGUGUGAGGGAGUGAUAGCAAUAAAUUUGUGCGUGAACUAAUGACGUUGGUAAGAAUUUAGGUGUUUGUAAAAUGGGCGAUGAUAGGCGCCGCCAAAUUUCGGCCGGUCGACGCGCAGCCGUCUGAUUAGUCCACCCAGGGCCGUCUGAUCUCGCGAAAAACGCCCUAUAUCAAUAAAAAAAAGCUCUCCUACUCCAACUGACACGGGCGAUCUGCCGCCGUCAAUGUGCGUGUGCACUCCGGCGAGCGCGGCAGCGCCCCAGCGUCAGCCCUCCUCGCAGCAUCCCGCGCUCGUGGAAAAGCUCGUCAGCACCCUCGAUGGUCGUCGUCCGCACCGCUUAGCAACCCCCAAUCCUCCAAGCUCUUAUUCCCACGGGCAUGAAACAGCAGAAAUCACCAUGAAAAUAGGGAUGUAGCAAAUCUACAAACCGAUAGUAGCAAAAAUCCUAAACGGUGGUAACAAAAUGGUGCACUGGUUCCAGAAAAAACAAAAACAUGGUAGCAAAUUUUGGGUUGGUUUCCAGCAAAAAAACGACGAUGGUGGUAGCAAAGUGGUACAUAGGUUCCAGUAAAAAACUAAAAACCAUGGUAGCAAGGUGAUACAUAGGUUCCAGCAAAAAAACACCAUGGCAGCAAAAAAAUGGGCUAGUUCCAGCAAAACUUGAAGACGGUGGUAGCAGAAAUUGGGGUUUGUUCCAGCAAAAUGAAGAACUGUUUCCAGCAAAACUUGAAGACCGUGGUAGCAGAAAUUGGGGUUGGUUCCAACAAAAUGAAUAACUGUUUCCAGCAGACCGUGGUAGCAAAAAUUGGGGUUGGUUCCAGCACAAAGAAGAACUGGUUCCAGCAAAGAAUAACACCGUCUCCGCUUGCCGGUUCCAGCACUGCUUGUGCUGACUGCAGCACGGCCACGCGCCGGUUGUAGCUCCUCGCCGCGCCGGUAGCAGCACCACGGGGACGUAGUAGCAGCAGCGACGAGCGCCGGCUAGCAACGGCCACUGCACGCACGAAAUCCUCGUGGGCUACUGCUUGUGCAGCACCGGCCAAUACCCCGCUGACUGCUCGCCCAUGCAGCAAAGAUAGCAAUGGAGAAGGUCGCUACGGAGUAGAGGUUGGAUCGCAUGGGGAGCUCGUCGGAGGAGUAGCAGACGGGAUAUGUAGGAGAGGAUGGGAUCUGCAGCUUAGGAGAUGGGGGGCGAUGGAGAUGGCUAUUUUUGUUUCGUAUUGGAUGUGGAUGUGAGGGGAGCGGUGUGGAGAAAGAAGAGAAGAAAAAGAAAUGAGCUGGGAGCUGUGUGUGGAGGAGAAUGAGCGGUGUUGUGGAUGAGGCCGGGAGGAUUCUCGAAGCACACUUGGGCGUACCACAUACGCACGAUCCCCCUGAAUGGGACAGGUCGCGAGCGACCGGCGUGAGUUUGCGCCGGCAGACCGGAGAGAAAUGUUUCCCUUAAUACAUGAUUUUGUAGUUAGCUGGUUGUAACUAACAUCAUAUGCCCUUUUAAGGAUGAUCAAUACUCCCUCUGUUUCUAAAUAUUCGUCUUUCUAGAGAUUUCAACAAGUGACUAUAUAUGGCAAAAUGAAUGAAUCUAUACUCUAAAAUAUGUUGUCUAUAUACAUCUGUAUAUGAUAGUCCAAUUGAAAUCUUUAAAAAGAUAAAUAUUUAAGAACGGAGGGAGUAGAUUGUUAAUGCCAUCGAAAGAUAAAAUAUGCCAGGAAUGGUAAUGUUGUCGAUAAUAUUUCGGUUGACUGAAGCACGAGUGUGGUGGGACUCGGAAGGGAGGGAGCAAAUUGUUGCUGCACUUAGAGCGUCUAUGAUUCGACCCCCAUUACUUUGUCUCCAUUUGUUCGCACACAAUCUGGAUAGGAGAGAACGCGACCUUGGACGCGUCCCCUCUCCCGCUACAGUAGAGGCGACUUUUCUGGAACCCCCGAGCAGAUCCACCCCUCCGUCGUCGUUUCGCCGGGUCCCCUGCCCUCCGUCGGCCGCUGCGGCGGCGGGAGGGUGGGGGAGCUUUGUCUCGCGUGUGUGUACAGGGUAGGCUCUGUUGGGACCCUGGCCGGCGGCGUCUUGGAGUGGGCGGCGCGGCCGGUCUUCGUUUUGCAGGUGGUGCUCGUCCCCUCCGGCGGUGGAGUUCUUCUGAGCGCUACGGCGGAGCGCCUCCUCGUCCGCGCUCGCGGUCCCCGGUGGCCGAUGCGUGCGUUUAUCCCCCUCUGGAUCUCGACGCGGCGGAUCCAGUUGUCGACCCGGAAGCCCCUGAUGUUGGAUCAAGACGGCGUUACCAGCGGAGCAGAGUGGAGGCUCCCCGGAGUUCGAGGUCCGGCGACUACCCCGCCGCCUGGGGACAUCUCCCGAUCCAAGGUUCGUGUGGAGAUGCAGCGGCGGCCCGCCACCGGCACGUUCUUCUUCGCGUCGGCGACGUUGUUUUGCAGAAAGGACCUGUGUGUAAUUUCUAGCUUUCUGGCGUUCUUUUCUGUAAUUCUUGUUUCAAUAUAAUCAGUGGUUUCCUCAAAAAAAUCUGGAUAGGAGAGAAGAAUAUUUUGUCCCAAUUUGUUUCCACGGACAAUCCAGCAGGAAAAAAGGUCACCCAAUUAUUGGACCCCCUA